GAGACGCUGGCGGCGUGCCUAACACAUGCAAGUCGAGCGGGGACAUACGACGGAUCGGAAGUUUUCGGAUGGAAGAGAAGAUGUAUGUUCUAGCGGCGGACGGGUGAGUAACGCGUGAGCAACCUGUCCUUCACAGGGGGAUAACACAGCGAAAGUUGUACUAAUACCGCAUGAGACCACAUUGGGACAUCCCAGAGAGGUCAAAGGAGCAAUCCGGUGAAGGGUGGGCUCGCGUCCGAUUAGAUAGUUGGUGAGGUAACGGCCCACCAAGUCGACGAUCGGUAGCCGACCUGAGAGGGUGAUCGGCCACAUUGGGACUGAGACACGGCCCAAACUCCUACGGGAGGCAGCAGUGGGGAAUAUUGGGCAAUGGGGGGAAACCCUGACCCAGCAACGCCGCGUGAGGGAAGAAGGUUUUCGGAUCGUAAACCUCUGUCCUUGGUGAAGAGUAAGAGACGGUAGCCAAGGAGGAAGCCCCGGCUAACUACGUGCCAGCCGCUGC
rnacentral:rRNA from 1 species